GCUGCUGUGGGGUAGGAGGAGAGAGGUGUUACCAUAUCAGCUGCCUCCUCUCCCAUCAUCUCUUUCUUCAGAAGC
rnacentral:pre_miRNA from 1 species